CAUUUGAUCAACUCACUAAGUGAGGCUUUUUUUCAAGAGUUCCCCCUCCUCAUAAAAAAAAUAAAUAAAUAAAAUAAAAUCCUUUGUAUAUUUUUUAGCCUCCCACUCAUCGUUCUUAGAAUGACCACACGAACAUGAAACAAAUGGGAAGGCUAGAUAAGGUAGCUUUUUAAUUGGUGUCAAUAGUUCGCUCUUUUUCAAAUAUUGUCACUUUCAAAUUACAAGUCUUCCUUGAAAUCUCUCUUCCACCACAUCCCAUGCUCCUGAAAGAAGACUCAAAUAUGUGGAUGGGAGCCUCCCAACUUUGCACCCUAAUACAACCACCAAUUCCUUCACAUUAGUAACACCCCCAAUUGGAAUCAGUUCACUUAUUUCCAAAUUGAUUCUUAGCCUAGAAAUUGCCUCAAACCGCAUUAGAAUCCAACUGAGGUAGAUUAUCUAGUCUUUGCAUGUCUCACAACAAAUUAGGGUGUCAUUAGCAAACAAAAAGUAGGACACUGCCACCUCCUUGCCACCUUUAACCCGCACCUUAAAGCCUAAAAUGAAACCCCCUUCCCUCCUUCUCCUUAUUAGACAACUUAAGGCCUUCAUUGUCAUGACAAAUAAAAAAGAAGAAAGUAGGUCCCCUUGCCUCAACCUCCUAAAACUUAGAAAGAAGCCAACAAGAGUACCAUUAACAAGGACUAAUUACCUAGGUGUGGAGAUACACCCAUUAAUCCACCCAAUCUUGUUCACAACUUCAAGAAGGAAACCCCAAUUUACAUAAUCAUAGGCCUUCUUAAUGUCGAGCUUACAUAAAAUUCCAUUAGUGCCACUCUUCAAUCUUGAAUCAACAACCUCAUUUGCAACAAGGGUAACAUCCAAGAUUUGCCUCCCAUCAACCAAAACAUUUUGUGAGUUUGAGAUCACUCUACCCACCACUUUCUUAAAUAUAUUAGCUAACACCAUUGCUAGCAAUUUGUACAAGCUCCCCACCAAACUAAUUGGACUAAAAUCCUUAUAAUCUUCUGCUCCACCUUUUUUAAGGAUCAAGACAAAAAAUAUAGUUUUGAUACUUCUCUCAAAAAAGCCUUGCUCAUGGAAUUCUCCAAAGAACCUAUCACCUCACUCUUCACAAAGUCCCAACACAGCUACUAAAAAUUCAUAGUAAACCCUUCUAGUCUCAAGGCUUUAUCCCCUAUUCAAAGUUGAGAAAACAAAAAAAAUUUCUCCUCUAAAAAAGGCAACUCCAAACUCCUACCUUCCUCCAUUCUCAAAGAGGGAAAAGGACAUCCAAUUAAUAAAUUACCAAGGCAGUGACUUCAUAUUUAGUAAAUGAUGGUGCUAAUUACAUGAUGAUAAGUUGUAAACACCCACAAAGAGAUUUUGGCGCCUCAUGAUUAUUUUGAUGUGUCAAAAGGUUACAUUUGCACCAGGCCAAAUCCAGGAACUUUUCCCCCUGUGAGGUGAAGUAAACAACUAAAAUAAUACUCGAGGCUAUUAUUUAAUGUACAAAAUUUUGGGGUUACCAUCCCAUCAAUUUUUAUAUUAAUCUCACAUUCUCACUUUCUUUACUUAGAUGACAUGGUGAUUUUUUUAUUUUAUUUUUAUAAAAAUAAAAAUACGAAUAUUUUCGUAAUCUAAUCAUCACCAGCUGCCUAAACAAAGUGGUAACACAGAUGGUAAAAAAGGAGGAAUAACUAGCAUUUUCCGAAUUUUAAUUGCCUCCAUAUGCCACUUUGAGGCAUCCUAUGAUUAGCAAUCUUCAUGCCAACGAGGAUCUUUGGCCUUGACAGAAUAGAUACUUCAUUUCAAAGAUGUAAACAAUAUUGAUAUAUUAUACUCUUGCAACAUUGUUUUGCAGUAUCAAUGGCUUGGUCAUUAUGAUCACAAGAUGUAGUUGAAAGAACUGUAAAUUUGUAGGGUUACCUGUUCUCAAGACAGGAUUGCCUGCCUUUACAAGGCUAAAGCAGGCAUGCUAAACUGCUCAUAGAAAGAGAGACCAAUAAAAGAGGAACCAGAAUCAUCUGCUCAUCACCUUUCCAGAUGAAGACAAGACUAUCAUCGAUAAUGAAUAAUCCCAUGUGGUAACUGGUCCCUCUGCAGGAAUAAGGGCUACCCUCUUGAUAGCAGUGAGCUGUUUGGGCAUCUAAUAGUUAAGGAUAUAAGAUGUCCUAGGUUCAGAAGGUAUCAAAGGAUCCAUGGCUUUUAUGGAUGCUCCUUUUGUGAUCUGGCUCCCAACCUUAGUGCUAUUAAGACCUGAUUAUAGUGCCAAGGUAGUGAAGUGAUGAAUGGUAAUUGGAUACAGCACUAUCACAACCACCACCUGCAUGACAUAAAAUAAUAUUUCAACAAUCCACGUGUCUAAGCAAGCAAGAACACAUGAAAGCCCAUACAAAGGUGGGUGCCCCCUUUUUUCUCAUUCUGGUUCAUGGGUGCUUCCAGUAACCCUACCUACUCUCCUGAAUUCUUCUCUGAAUUUCUGCCCCACCUUCAACAAUUAUGAUUCUUAAACUUAAAACUUCCAAGCUACAUCAAUCGAAAUCUGAUAUCAACGAAGAAGGGAUUAUGGACCAGGGCUGGAGGUCCUUCUUUAGUGAUGUUAUCUCAAACAUUUCAAGCCUAGGACCUGGACACCUUUAAGUUUAGAAAAUUUUAUGUUUGUUUUACUUAUUUCCUAUCCUACACCAAGUCUCAAGUAGAAACAACAAAACUAUUUGAUGUGUUCCUUAAAUCCUAAAUAAUUGUAAGCACCAGUAUGCACAAAAGAUAUUAAGCUAGGGCCUAGCCUUAAUAUAACAAGGAAGAUUGGCAAUAUGACUUAAAAUGGCAUUUUUUUUUUUAAAAUGCCCUCCAAGGAUUAGUAAAUUACAUUAAUUGAGCAUACUCACAAUAGGAAUAAUAGUAGGAAGAGCUUGAAAUUCAAUGAAAGAAUUUAUUCAGUUAGAAAAGUUAAUUCAGUUAACAAAUUCAGGAAGAUCAAUGCCAAUCUAAUGGGAAAACAAGAAACAUAAAAAAUGAAUAUAGAAACAGCAAGAAGUUGAUCAAGAACAGCGAAGAACCAACCUUCCCCUUUCCGAUAAACAUCCCGGAGCUAGUCCUAACUUCGCUGAGCCUGCUCUUCCCUGACACAUUAUCUGCGACAGCAGAUCUCUUCAGCUCUGAUUUGGCCUGUUACAACCCAACCAAAAGUCAACAAACAUCUGACCUCUCUUUGGUCGCUGAUAAAAUGUGAUAGAAGAAAAGAAAUUAAAAUUUCAAAUAUUCUUUCAAUAGACUCAAUUGCAGUGAAUUAUUUAUGAUCAAAGUUCCACUUUUUUGUUUUCCUUAUUUUCUCAGCCACGGAUAUAAACAUAUUUCCAAAAAUUUAGGGAUUAAAUUCAUGAAAUUUUCGAUUCAACUCACAAGAGAUAUCAAAUGAUCGCAUUCUUCUUCCGAAAGAAAACCCUCGUACACGAAAGCUCUGCAAAACAAUCGGAUUCAACACAUGAUAAACCAAUAAAAAAAAAACUAAAAAAGAAAUAAAGAAAACCGACCUCGGUUUCCAAGAAAUCUGCCUGACUUUAGCGGCAGAGACGUUGGAGCCAGCUGCAUCCGCAUACGAGCUCGAAAACUCGAGUAUGGUCGAUGAGAUCCAAAGCAAAAGGAGGAACUGCAGAGAAGACACCAUAAUGUUGAACCUUCGAUUGGAUCCCGAGAAAAAAUUUUCCGGGAAAUGUUCGUUUACCAAUUUGAAUAGUUAUUCGUUUUUUGGCUUUAGGGUGUUUGAAUCUGUAAACGUGGCUGGAAUUCUGAUGAAGUCUAGAUCGAAACGACGUCCAUCGCUGCGUUUUGUUUAAUUUAUAGGCUACUGGCCUCCUUUCAGCUGGACCCACUCUCCUGUCCUGUCAUCAUGUUUAUCGGGUACAAAUGUAUUAAAGAAAUGGAAAUGCAAAUACAAAUACAAAUUCAGUAUAAAAUCUCUCUCUCUCUCUCUCUCUCUCCUUAAGAACAUCUAUUUCCUUUCUCCCUUUUGGAAACUAUAUUCUAUAGUCCUUAAUUUACUUCUCUGUAACAAUGAAAUAGCCUUCAAUUUCUGAGUUGCAGUUCUGACCCUCUCUACAUUGACAAGCCUCAUCAUCAUAGGAAGACAACUUUCCUUCAACAAUGGAGAAGUAUAUUCUAACAAUGCUUAUCACUAAAAGGCCAAUACUACGAGUAAUCACACCUCUAAUUGUGAAUAAAUUUGUGGCUAAUAGUUUAAAAAAUGCCGUUAAAAGUUUCAUGAUAGUAUUAUUUGAGAUUCGGUUUUAAGAAAAUUUUAUCAAGUCAAAGAGUCAAAUGAAGAUCAAGAAGAUAUCAUGAAGAUAUAGUGAAUUGAAAAGCCUUAGGAUCGUAUCUUUGUAAGGUUGAAUGAUACACUAUGACUUAAUUGCAUUAGACAAUACUCGUGAUGAAGGGUUAUAUAUAAAAACCAGAAACUUUUGACUUCAAUUUUGGAGUUAAAUACUUUUAGUUGAAUUAUUAUCUUUACAAACGUUUUUUUUUAGAAAAAUCACAUAUUAAGUGUUUCUUAUAACGUGUUUGACAGUAAUUUUAGAAGGUGUUUUUAACAUUUCUAACAUUCUCAAAUUUGUAUUUUUCAGGUAUUAGAAAGACUAAAAACAUUUCCUAGAAUUACUACUAAACCCCCUUAAAAAAGUAACCAUGCAAUAUUCUACAUCAUUUAAGGGAAGAAAUUCUUGACAUCAUAUGUAUAGUGAGUUGCUCUUGAUCACGUAACUACAUUUUAAAGUCGGAAGAAUUUGUUAUUAUAAAAUAGUAAUCGAGCCCUGCAAUCAUGUGGAACACAACAAGGAUGUUGUAUUUGUGUGGAAAAAUGGGGUUAAAUGUCAUAUCCCACAUCUAAUAGGAGUUGUUUUUCUUAAUGAUGCGAUGAAUUUUAAAGUCGUGAAGGACCUAUUGGGCCUAAAACAAACAAUAUUUAUAUAGGAGAAAACAUGUCAUUGCAAGCCAUAAUUUAACAAUAGACACUCUAGAUCUCCAUUCUGAACUAGGCAAAAUCCAAGUUUUGAUUCACACAUUGAUUGAACUUCUUACGAAUAAAAGGGUCACAUGAUCGCAGUGGGCAGUAGGUGUAGAGGAACCAUCCACAACUUCAUAUUUUACAGUCUAAUGCAAGAAAUAAUAUUUUCAAAGCCGGCUACCUACCCUUAAUAAAAAAAUAAAAUAAAUAAAGCAUUCCUUAACAAAGAUUUUAGAUCUCCAAAAGAAUCUCCAUAUGCCUACUCAGAUCGUUCAAGUGCUUUGUUGAGUUGUAUUCUUCAGCAUCAAGGAGCUCCUCAGAAUAUGUCCUCUGGAGAAUAGGCUUUUGGUAUCGCUUUCCAAGGGUGGAAAUGUCUUCUCUACCUUUUAGAACCUGCACCACCUGCAGCACAUAAUGUUUGAUCCUGGUCAUGGUUAUUAACUUCCUUAUCAUCUAUGACUGAAACAAGCAUUUAUACGUAAGUUCACAGCCAAGAACCAGAUGGACUAAUUAAAUGAAAGCUCAGAACCGAUGUUUUGAAAGCUUGGAUAUCACCCUUGGGUCAUAUCUAGCUGUGAUCUCCAACUGAACACUUCUCUUUCUAAUUUUAAAUUGGUCUUCUCCAGCUUCUCUCAAAAGAGCAGGUGAUUCAUCUUUUGGAAUUACUCCUAGAAUGUAUUCACAGAAUUUAUAAUAAAAUAUGUUUUGAUCACAAAGAUUUAAAUUUCUUGUGCAACCAUCAGAGAGUAGGCCUGUAGAUUAGUGGUCUAAAGCUUACUAUUGUGCUUCUGCAGACUAACAUCAAGGUCCAACUAUACAUAUCUUUAGUUAGUAUCUAUGAUGGAUACAUGCCUGGUUCAUUCGAGGUCGUUGAACAGAAGACUGAUGAAGGCACAAACUAGAGACUGUAGCCACAAUGUUCAUCUGUUCUGAGUCGUAAGCGUCGGCAAGCCUUGGAUCAACAAGCUCAUCAAUACUAUUGUUAAUAAGCAAAGGUUUGGCCUGCAAUAAGUUAUUUGAAACAGCUUCAAUUUCUAAUUGUAUAACUCAAUACACUAGCCAAACAGGGAGAGACAGAAGCAACCUACCCACAUCACAAGGCUUUUCUGUGAGCUAUCCAGAGCUGGGCGUCCGGUGAUGAGCUCUAAUAGUAGCACUCCGUAGGCAUAUACAUCUGUCUUUUCAUCGACUAUGCCAUGCAAGAAGUACUCAGGAGGAAGGUAGCUGUUACAAUACGAAAUAAUGUUAAAUACCGGAAUGGCAGCAAAGAAAUCUUCCAUAGAUAUUGAGAACCACAAGAAGUUUUGAGUCUACAAACCCGAAAGUGCCUUCAAAUCCUGAUACAAUAUGGUGAGUACACUGCUCAGGUAGCCACUUUGCAAGCCCAAAAUCAGAAAUCUGGAUUGAUCUUGAAGUUACAUAUUGAAAUGCAAAUUGAUUUUAAGUAGUAGUAAGGAGAGUUGAAGACCACAAUCCCAAAUCACAGAAUUGCUGUGAAAUGGUGUUUUCAGUACAUCAUUUCUUGGUUUGAAGGCAUACCUGAGGCUCAAAAUCCUCUUUAAGCAAAAUAUUAGAAGCCUUUAUGUCUCUGUGGAUGAUUCUUCUUUGGCCCCCCUCAUGAAGAUAACCAAGGCCCUCAGCUGUCCCUAAAGCAAUCUUGUAUCUGAUUUCCCAUUCUAGCUUCUUCUCCGGGCCUGGAGAUAGGGGAAAGAGAGGAAAACUAAUUAUUUUGUCAGUCGGAGAUCUGUAAGAACUAGAAUAUUACAAGAUUGAAAUGAUGAACAGACUGUAUAGGAGGGAAGCUAAGCUCCCAUGAGGAGACAAAUAAAGAACAAGGUGCAUUCCGCCUUCAACACCAUAACCAACUAAUUUAGCUGUAUUGGGAUGGUCAAUAUGGACUAUAAUCCCGAGCUCGGAUAAGAAGUCUACUGUCAUCUCUUCUGGGGUUCCUCUGAUAAUACGCUUGAUCGCAACAAACUGCCCAUCUUGCAAUUGUCCCUUGUAAACUUCAGCAUAUCCUCCUUCUCCAAUUAAAUUCUCUUUAUUGAAAGACACGAGGAUGAUUGUCAGAAUGGAGAUUUGACAGACUUAGGUUCAAAUGAAUUGCUAAAUAUUCAAACACUAAAUUCAAAUUUUGAAAAGAUUACACACUAUGGCUGAAAUUGUCAGUUGCAGUUUCAAGCUCUGAUAACGAGAAAGCUUUCCAUGAAGGUUUCAUUAAGCAUAAUCCAGCAUCUAAAGAGGGAUACAGUGCUGGAAUCAUGCUUCCUCUUGCCCUUCUGCUUUUACUUCUUGAGAGCUUCCGGAUGCCUAGGGAAGGUAAGGUUUGCAAGCCCAUUGCAGAUCCUUUUUUAAAUAACUGGGAGAAUCUAUGCCAGUUAGAAGCAGAUCUUGUAUUCGAGGGAGUUUCUGAGUCUGAAGUACUGGCCUUGGAAGAAGCUGUUUCAGAUUCUACACUUCUUAAGCAGCCCUCAAGAACUCCUCUUGGAGAAGGCCCCUCCUUUCUCUCCUCCAUAUUUAGAGUUGCUGAGUCUAACAUAAUAAAAUUUAAGCAUUGGUACCAUCAUGGAAUACUUCUAGAGCAAAUGGAGAAACGAGGAUUAUACCUUCAGCCGAAAUCGAGACAGAGAGACUGGAAAGGUGUUCUCCAUCUGCAACAGGAUGAACCUUCCCUUCCGCAUUUUCUCCCCCAAUGUUGCCGGAACCCACACUGCAAAUAUGCAUAUUAAUAAAGAACAGAGAAUGGGACAAAACAUGAAACAAACCCCAGAGGGCCAACAAAAGGGUUGAGAAAUUAAAUAUCUCCAGACAACUACAACAUAUCUAAAUCCAGAGAAUUAGAGAUUACAAACAGACAAUUCAACAAUCAACCAUCCCAAACCAGAAAAGCCAAAAACCAGAAUCUGAAAAUGACAAUAUGAGGAUAUAUUUAUCUGUUACUCCAUAAACUGAAUCAUACAAAACCCAGUAUAGAGAAAUAAAGAUUCAGCCGACCCCAGAAGUAGAAAAAUGAUUUGAAAGCAAGAAUCCACGAGAGAAGGAAAGAACACUCGAAAUCAAACAAACCCACCUGGUAUUAUUCCAAUUUUCAUUUCUUUCCCAACAUUCCUCAACAAUCAAACAAUGCAUAAGAAAGUAUCGCAAACGAAAUCCUAAGAUAUUUGAAAUUUUAUGCCAGAUUAGCAUGAAAAAGAGCCAAACCCAGUAUCUAAAAAGCUCAGAAGGGAGAAUAUGAGAAAAGAAAUAAAUACCAAGGAGAAGCUGAAGGUUCUCGGACAUCUUCCAUGGAUUCUCAGAGACCACCCCAAAAAUGAGAGAGAGAGAAAGGGAAAGAGAUGGAGAGAGGUGGGCAUAGCUUCCGUGUGUAUAGAGCAUGCAAUUUAGCGAAAUUGAGCCCGAAUUUUUUGCUCAAAAACCGGCUUUUUUCAAAAAAAAAAAAAUCUCCUUGAACAAAUCUCUGGUUUUCAGUGAAAGCAAAAUAAAAUUAGAAAAUUCUGAGGAAUGUCGAGAGCACGAAAACAAGCGCGAGAAUCGCCUCCCUCUCAUGGGUGAUCACCACGUGGACUGAGAAAUCCUCUCAAAUGCAGAGAGGCAAGCAAUGGUCCGAAGGCGGAAAGACGUUGAAAUGUGGUGGUGAAACGACACCGUUUUGAACUGCAUGUAAAUUGUUAUUUCAUGAUUCGAUCUCCUACGCCUAUCACCCUUAAAUUAAUUUCCCACCCUCCGUUUUGAAACCCAUGUCCUAAUGAUUCAAUAUGGUAUGUCUGUUCCCCGAUAAAUUAAUUUUCCACCCUCCGAUUGACUUCCUGAAGAGACUUGUAUGUUCAACCACAUAUACUGGAAACUGGGUGAGCUGGAUCAUCAAAAGACACGAGGAGUACAAUUACAAAAAGCCAUUCUUCAGGUUGAGGAAAAGCCCAUCUUGAUUUAGGAGAUGGGAAACAUACGGCUGAGCCCCAAAACUCCAUGGCUGGCCUCUCAAGCAAGCUUUGCAGGAAACAUGGCAGAUUUUAAUGGUGCUACACAGGACACCGUCACACAAUUUUUCCAAUACUGAAGAUAUAUUCCCAAAGACUAGAGAAGGCAAGGUGAGGCGCCUCGAGUUUUCCUGAAUAUUGAUGCAGGGGGAGACCCCCAUCUCCUAGACCAAUUCAAAGAUGCAGAACAUAACAUUUUGAUUUUUUGUCACCCGAAUUACAACUUGAUAUGAAAAUUUUAACGAGGGGGGUUCAUAGAAUAGUGUUGUUACACCUCAUCAUAGUUUAAAUUGUUUAAUUUACAGCACAAACUGCAUAAGAGACUGCUGGUAAUUUCAAAAAAGCCAAGCUGACAGACAUAUAUGGUGCGGUUUCUGCAAACAAAUUUCAAUGGACGUUGCGAGUGAUCAAUCCCUCGAAUACAGCAUAGAGGUCCUUGUUAUCUGGGCCAAAAAUCUCAUCUGCCUUCCUUAGCGUCUCCUGAAAUGUGGAUAUUUUGUUGGAUCAAAUGUUGACAGGAAGAGAAGUUCAUUUGUGACAGGGAGAGAGGAGAAUAUAUACCUCUCUUGUUUGCUUGUGGGAAUUUAGUUCCUUGACAUUUGCUAGAAAUGCACCAAACUGCUCGUAAGACAAACGGCUCCUGAAAACAAAAAGGACCAGUUGGGCAACUCUUGAACGUCCUGGUCUUAAAGGAUUGAAUUGAACAAUUGAGGAAGAACAUAUAUAUCAUGCUAUAAUUAUUUGGAACAAUCAGAAAAUUCAUAAGUAAUUCAGUACCUAAGUACAAUAUUUAGAUUAUUUGUCAAGUGUAUAAACUUGUAAUCACUGACUGCUGAAAAAUAGGUGUACAAUCUAAAAUCCUGCAAACAGUCUGUGAUUUCAAUAGAAACAGAACUGUAGCCACUAGAACAGACUGCAUUCUGAGCUCAUAAAAUCAGCUUUGACCAUGCUUGCUAUGUAUGAUCACUUUCAGGGACACAGUGCACAGAGUUAAGCUUUUCUUUUUUAACUCUUCAUUUUUAUUUUAAUUUUUGGAUUUUUAAUGACUUUGACAUCAUUUAGUACCACAUGAAUGUUCCAAGUUUAGCGUAUGUUUACCUGACUUGGCGGAAAAACUCUUUUCCAUCAACUCGAGUUCGUCCUGGAACAAAAGAACACAAGGACUAAGAAUAUAAUGUAAUAAAUAUAAAUCUAAAGGGAAAUGCCACAAAAACAAAUAACUAUGUUGAAGAUCCAUAAAAGAUGAGGUCAUGAUGAUUCAAAAUAGAAUGAUCACCACUAUUACAUUAAAAUCAUAACUGCCCCAUACACAUCAAUUUGUAUGAGUUCCUUCAUGCAAAUCUUUUGUAAAAAAGGCAUUUUCAUGUCCAAGGGGUGGUUGUCUGGUAUCCCAUUUCAGUUCUGAACAUUAACACAUAUCAAGUGUGUUUGCUCAAUGUGCAGUCUGCUAAUUACCACCCAAUGCUGAAUGUGGUUUCUAUGUUGCUUUUGACAUCAUAAAUUGGUUACCCUUUCAAUAGCUUUAAAUUUUUACUACUACAAAUUCAAGAUCAAGGAGAUUUAACACCAUCUUUUCAGUUUUGACAAACACUGCCUAGAGCAUAACACUUCAGAUUACAAGAUUAAUAACUCAGCCAAGGGAAAGACAUGGAUUAAGAACCAAAAAGAGAGGGUACAUUCCAGGAAUGCAAUAGCUGGAGAAACAAGUUAACACUAGCAUAUAAACAUGUCUUGUUGUGCAACUUCUUGACCAAAAUUUCUAAAUGAAAAGCAGAAUAAAAGGUUAAGCAUCUUAGCUGUAACACAGGAUGAUUAGGCUUCGAUUUGUAAUAUGCCAUGUUAUAUCGUUCACAAUCAUGGGCAGCUGAUCAGUUUCACUCCUAGUAUUUUAUUUUUAUUUUUACGAUCAUGCAUGGUUCUAUUAUUACAAAAGAAAAUAUUUGAAAUUUGGCUUCAGAAUUGUAGACUAUUUGGUGAAAGGCAUAAAGCUUAAAAGAUAAUUGACUAAAAUGAUCCUAUUGGCAUCACCACAAUGGAGCCAAUGGAUUCUUAACUUUCUUAACAUAAUAAAAAGAAAUAGCAAUAAAUAGGUGAUGUCAUCAAUAUCUGAUUCCAGUAGAGUUCAGUGCAGGAGCUUAAGCACAGGACUUGGUAGCACCAUUUGACAAGGCAGCAUGGAGCUACCAGAUCCUGGCUUAAAAAAAGAUUAGAUAGUACAAAAUUUUUUGUAAAAGAAAGUUCUAGAGCUAACCAGUUUGUGAUCCGGACUCAGAGCUUGACAUUGAACUGUGCUGGCUAGUGGGCACUGAAGGCCUAUCAUCAAACAUUCCUCUUGAGGUUGAAAGUGAAAUUGAAUGUCGCCUUGGGGAUACCGAUGCGGAUAGAGUAGGAGGCGAGCCGGGAGGAGUAAGCCGAGGUGUGUUAGUUUGGGAUGCUAAGAGGAAGCCAUGUGAUAUGCCAGCUCUUGAGGCUGCCAUAACAAUUAACAAGAAAUAAGAAAAAUAAAAAGAGUCAUAUUAUAUACAAUUUCAAAGCUUUUCAUCAUUGAUAAAACACCACAUGUAGCAAACACAUAAAUCCAUCCAUUCAAUAAAGAGAACACUUCUGCAAAAUGAAGUGGUUGUUAUCCAAUGAACACAACUUUCAAUUUUAGGUUUGCACUUAAAACAACAACAACAACAUACCAUCCGUCUCCCGAUCCUCUGCAAAUGAAUUUCCAAUUUCUGAGUACUGGCUUCGUGUAGAAGAAUAUCUUGAUGUAGCAUCGUCUUCUGAAACAUAACAUAAGGUUUUUUUUUUUUUUUUUCCUUUUGGAAUUAAUACUUGUAAAAAAGAAGGCAUCAUCUAAACUCAAACCAGCAGUUACUUUGAAUCAGUAAGAGGCCAUCACAAAAUUAUUCAAAAAGGGUAAUUCUUCUCAGGCAUCUUCUAUAUUUUCCACUAAAGCACAAGAAUUUUCUACCAAUGGUAAAGCAGGAUGUGUCAGAGCACAUAUCAUGGAAAAAUUUUGAAAAAAAAAAAAAAACAAAAAAAUCAACCAUAAGAAUGUUUGAUUUUGGAAAAUUCAACACAUUUCCAUGGGAAACUGAAAUCAAUUUGCAAGUUUGAUUUCCCCCCAUGCACACUGCUAAACCAUUGGUGAACCAGUUUUAUGAUCCACGGCCAAUUAGUGGUAACUGGUAAGAACAAUUGGAACAGUAAAUGAAGUGGAUAGAAACAGUGAAAAAGACCUCCAGUCAUUGAAGCAGAAGAUAAACUCGAUUGGGCUGCCAUCUGUUUGGCAACAACCUGCGGAGAUGCUCCCUGUGGAAAAACUAGCUUUAGUUAUCAAAAUACACUCUGUUAUCAAAUGGCAAGUAGUUUCUACCAAACUGAUGCCUCUGAUGAAGAAAUAAAAAUUUUUAGGCAUGGGGGAUCACACAAAGAAGAUAACUCACAGAACUCUCUUCAUCCUCUUUAAGUGAUAGCAUGAGUGUCUUUCUAAAGCUCUCCAACUGAACACACAAACAUCCAAAAAAAAAAAAAUAUCCCUUUCAUUGUUAAAUGAUCUUUCUCAAUAUAUUAAAUUGAUAAACAAAUGGUAUCAAAUUAUGGCAUUCAGCUACUAAGGAUUCAACAUGAUAGCACGAAAUUGAAUACAUGUGCACAGAAAUUUAUGUCUUUUAUGCUGUAAAUUAUCAAUCAGAGUCCAAAAACCACAAUUUCAAAAUCAUCGAUCAAAGUUGGCCGAACUGAAACUGCAAAAACGGUUUGUUAGAUUCAGAAUAAAUACUAGUAAACUGAUUAGAUGAUAUAAAAUCAGGAAUUCGAGUCCCUGAACAUUCCAUCAAUUUUGGACUGUUUUCUAACUGCUGAACAAUUCAUUGAAUCCAAAUUCUUAAUAUUCAAUAAAAAAAAAAUUUCCAAGAAUAGAGAACUUAUAAUUAUCAUGAACUGUAAAUACGAAGAAAACAACCUUGGAGACAUCACGAUUAAGCUUCUUCACAGUAUUGGACAACGAUGCGUUCUCCUUCAGCAAGUUCUCCUGCAACAGAGAACCGAAUCACCGAGUCAAGCAAACGAGUCAGCAAAACCCCACACAUUUCAGGAAAAAAAUCCAGACCUUCUCCUGUUCGGCGAGGAAGAGCUUGUCGGCGGCGUCGGAGAGAGCAUGGUCGAGAGACUCGAUCUGAUCGUGGAGGUCGGCGACGAGGGCGUCCUUGUCGGCGAGUUUGGAGCGUAGAGCGGAAGCCUCAGAUUCGAGGGCGGAGACACGUGCGGAGAGCGCAAUGGAGGUGAUUUUGCGAGCCACAUCGAGCUGUUCGAAUGGAUCGGAGGGCAGAACUUCGAGCACUUCCUCGGGUAGGUCGAAGCUCGGAGUACCUGGUUCUUUUGCAAACAUUUUUUUCCCUUUUUUUUUCUAAUGGUAAUUACCUUUUCCCCUCGUUUGGCCCCGUUUAAUAUUGUUAAUUUAUUAUAUUUCUUUUUUUAUUUAGUGGGUGAGGAUAGGGUGGGAUAGGGCCCAUGUGGCCAUGUGUGGGUGUGUCAAAAAUAUGCGGCUCCUAAUGGCGUAGUAAGGUUUGUGGACGGAUAGAGGCUGUGAGAGUGAGUGAAAGGAGACAGAGAAAAUCUGGGCCUUCCCAAAGGCUUCUUGAAAUGGGCUUCAAUUUAAAGAGUUGGGCCGGGUUGGUGUAGUUGAGCCCAACAGGCUUGGCUAUUAAAGGACAAAAAUUUGAAAUACAUAAUUAAAAAGGAAGGGGAAUAAUUCUUCCAUUUUCACCACCAUUAAUUCAUUCACUGCCAUGUAAAACCUUCCAGACUUUGACUUUUUUGUCUGAUAGUUGUUGAUAUGGUUUAUUUGAUUGAUAUAAUUAAUGUAAUCCAAAUAUUAAUUAAGUCAAUGAAAUUGACCAUAUGGGUAACCCCGAAGCAGAGGUUUUUGAUGAAAUUUCAAAUUAUUGAAGAUAUAUUUAAGCAAAAUAUCAGAGGAGGCAGUAAAUUAACCCAUAAUUUAAAAUAAUAUUACUUUCAAAAAAUUUUAGGAGAUUUAAUUGUUAGGUUAUGUUUGAUUUCCAGAAAGUACUAAAGAAAAAAAAUAUAUUAAGGAAAAUUAUUUUCUUCUGUUCGAUUGUAUAGUGAAAAAUAAAAAAGAAAAUAAAAUAUAAUUAAAAUUAGUUAAAAGCUAAUAUAUUUUCAAAUUAUUUAAUCAUUAUAUUGAACUUAUUAAUCUUAAAAUUAUUUUCUAUUUUUUCCCUUUUGUUUGGUUAUUGGGAAGCAUUAAGGAAAAAAAUGCUAAAAGAAAUAUUUUUUUUUCAUGUUUGCUUUCAUCAUGGAAAAUAAGGAAGAAAAUUAAAUGUAAUUAAAAUUAAUUGAAAGUUUUUAUAUUUUUAAAUUAUUUUAUUUUUAGAUAGAAGAGGAAAAAAUAAGUGAAAUAAAUUUUAAAUAGCAAAUAAAUUUUUUAUUUAUUGAUUUUAAAUCUAUUUAUUAUAUUUCUUCACUUUUUUCCUUUUAUAUUUUUCCUCUCUAUUUUAUUUCUCACACAUUUUCUCUCAAAUUUUCCGAGAACUAAUCAUAACCUUCUAUUUUUCCUCUAUUUUUUUCUUUGUAUUUUCUUCAAUUUUAAUGUUAUGUUUGGUUCCUAUAAAUUUUGAGAGAAAAUGCAAGUGAAAGAAAAUAGAAAAAAAAAAAGUAAAAUGAAAUAAAAAAUAAAUGUAAAAUCAAUCUUUUUUUUAUAUUAUUUCAAAUUCAUUUCACUUAUUUUAAUUCAUGAAUAUUAAGAUAAAAUAAUUUGAAAAUGUAUAUUUUUUAAUUAAUUUUAAUAUAUAUAUAUAUAUAUAUAUAGUAUUUUUCAUAGUAUAAUCAAAUAUAAAAAUUCAUUUUUCUCAACAUUUUUUUAAUUUUAUUAUUAUUUUCAAAACAAGACAUAACCUAAAAGAUUACAAGGUAUAAAUUUUAAGUUCUUACUCAAGAAUUUAAGAUAACUUUUUAAUACAUAUAAAAAAAUAUCACAAGUUAGGUGGUGUUCGUGUAUAACUUAAGUGUCUUAUGUUUAUAUUGAAUCUCAUUUAUUAGUACUAGUUAUGUGGUCUCAUAUAUCAAGUCUUGUUCAAUUGUACCAUGAUCCUAUUAUUUUAUAUUUCAGUUUUGACUUCAUUUUUUUUUUUAAUCUUGGUUUUAUUAUUAUUAUUAUUAUGGAAAAUACUCAGGUGAUAUUUAUCAAAGCUCAAAUCUAGACCUUUGAAUAUAUAUAAUGAGAUGUAAGUUAUUAAAUUAAGGUCCAAACAAAUAAAAUUAAAGUACAAAGCUAUGAAUAAACGAAACUAUAAUGCAAAUCAUGAGACUUGCGUGAUAUUUAGUGAUUGAUAGUAAUUUUUCGAUAUCUACCAAAAAAACAAAAGCAUCAAUUCAUCGUUGUAUAGUAGAGGUGACAAUUUGUGUUGAUAGAUCAUGUUUAUGUCGCAUCAAAGUCUAGGUAUUCUACUACAUAACUCAACCUAAACCCGACACGAACAAUAACCGUGCCAGAAACAUAAACCCAAAUAUUAAACCUGUCAUGUAACCCAUUUAAUAAUCAAAUUCUCUUAUUUAAUAAUCAAGUUAAGUCUUACACAAGUUUAUAUGAUUAAUGUUUUAAUCAAACAUGUUUAUAACUUAAUCGACUUAUUUAUUUAAAAUGAGUCAAAUAUGGACUAAAUAAUUUAAAAAUAUGAUGGAGAUAAUAGUGAGACUAUUAGAUAAGUCAAUUUGGGUUAAAUUUGUAUUAUACAGAUUGACCCAAAAAUCACCUAUUUAUUAAAUGAUUUAUGUAAAUUGAUACGAAUUUGAUCUAAAUUCAUUUAUACUCGAUCUAAACUUACAAAAAAUACAUUAGAUUCAUGUCUUAUUUACCAACCAUGUCAAACUUUGUCUCCUUGUUAUAUAGGAAAUGUGCCCUACUUGUAUAAGAUGCCAUAACGGAGCUCAGGAACCUACCAUGUGUUCCACGUCUACGAAGCUUGGACCAUCGGUUUAGUGGACCAUGGACUUCACAUAAAAUAAUUAACAUUACAGUCAGACAAACCCUUUCAUGAUAACUGAAGUACAAAGUAGAGAAUAAAGAAGAUUCCUUUUUAAGCCUUUUUAAAGGAGUUUAAAGCCAGAGCCAGCUUACACCUUUCAAAAAUUUCAAAAUCAUAAUCACCAAGUACGAAGCUUUCUCAAAACGUUCAAAUCACUGAUUCACGGGUUUCGGAUUUUUUUAACUUAUUAUUUAUUUAUUUAUUUUUAUUAUUAUUAUUUUUUAAUUUUAAUUUCUCAAUCAAAAGUCACCCUUAUUGGAGUGGAGUUGGGUGUGCCCCUUUCAAUCAAUCGAUGUUGUCUCUUAUUGAUGGCUUGUGGUUCACGAUCAGUUUAGUGGACCAUGGGUUAUAAAACAUAAUUAACAUUAGAAAAUUAGUUUUAAUGAAAACACUUCUGUUAAAAACAUUUUAAGAAAAAAACGUUUUCAUUGAAAAUAUUUUUAGGCUGAAAAACACUUUUUAAAAUUACUAUUGGAUGUAAUUUUAGUAUUUUAAAGAGGAUUUAUACUAAAAAUUUCACCCAUUUUGAAUUUCAAUCCCUAUAUCAUGAGAAAAGUAGAAUACAAAUUUACGGAAAAAAAAAGUUAUUCAAUUCUUUAAAAUUUUCAUAUUUCCUCCUUAGAUAAAAUUUAUAUUCUACUUCCAAAUAUUCCUGAAGAAUUCAAUACAUAAUUAACACCCUGUUUCAUCAUUAAAAAGAUAUAAUUUUGGUAAGUGUUAAGAAAAAAUCAUCAAUUAAGUAAUAUCACGUGUAUACAUUUGAGUCUUAUGAUUUCAUAUUUUAAUUUUAUAAAUAAGAAAAGUAAUUUUCUUUUAACAUUUUUUUUUUUACUUUCCUUGUCAUAACUUUAAUGAUUACAAAAUGUAUUCCACUCAUGUGUAGAGAGUGUAUUAUAGUGGGGAGUUGAAAUGAAGAGAGAAAAGGAGCCAAGGGUAUGGUUUCCAUUUGACGACAGCAUUAACAAGAACAGAUGGAGUACCAUGAAAGCACCCUGCAACAAGAUAUGACAGAGCCACUGAUGCAGCAAGAUGAGAAGGGGAACAUCUCCUUUGAAGAGGAUGAUGAUCUCACGCCAAGAAACACCAGCCAGAAUGGGUCUCUGGGAGUUGUAUGGCUCAGCACAACAGUUGCAGUCUGGGGCUCUUUUCAGUUUGGAUGUUGUGUGAGUAGAGCUUCAAAAAACCAGUCGUCUUCACCAGAAAUAAAAGACUCAAAAAGUCAAUGAGUUGACACUGUCAAUAUUAAUAUUUGCUGGAGGGGUUUUGCCCCUUAAUUAUACCACUUUGUUCUAGGCAGUACUUCUCUCAUUUCCUCUGUAGAUCACCUGGAAACUGACUUAUAUUCAGUUGGGUUGGAUUCUGAUGUUUGAUGUAGGUAGCUGAACUUGCAGGUGCACUACUCAUCUCCCACUCAGACAGCUAUCAGGAAGGAUCUCAAUCUUUCACUAGCUGAGGUUUGGUCAAUUUUUUUUUUCUCAACUAAAAUUUAUCUGUUAUGCCUCUGUUUAUCUACUUCUCCAACAAUUAUCAUUCUUCAUCAAUCAAAAAAAGAUUUGCGUUAAAUUUUAGGCAGUAGAGCUUCAAAGAGACUACUGUAAAGAACCCAAAACAUUUGCAGUACUCCAUAUGGACUACUGAAUAAUCUGUUGAAAACUCCAUCAAGGAAUUCAAUUUCCAUAGCCAAAAUUUUGAUGUCCUCUGUGUCUGUGCAGUACUCAGUAUUUGCUUCCAUAUUGGCAAUUGGGGCGAUGAUUGGGGGGAUUACAAGCGGGCAUAUCUCCAAUUUCAUUGGAAGGAAAGGGGUAAGCUACAAAUGGGAAACUCGCAUGAUAUUCACAGGUCAAGUAGUACAUAUAGCCACAUCUUCAAAACUGACCAACAUGGUUUUUCUAUGGAAUGGAAGCAGACAAUGAGAGUGGCUGCUAUUUUCUGCAUUAUAGGGUGGCUUGCCAUUGGUUUUGCUGAGGUCUGUAUCAAUUGUACACACUUCUAGGAUCUUCAGUGCCUAAAUAUCAGCUGCUUAUAUGAAUGAAGUAAUUUUUAUCUCUUAAGGGUGUUCUGUUGCUUGACAUUGGAAGAAUGUGCACAGGAUAUGGAAUUGGAGUAUUUUCUUAUGUGGUAUGCAUUUCUUUCCACACACACACACAAAACCCUGUUCAUGGAUUUCCAUUAAAAUAGCAUGAAUCCCACAUCUUAUGAUAAACUUUGAAAUAUAUAUAAUGAGGGAGAAGGUACCAGUGUUCAUUGCUGAAAUAGCACCCAAGGAUCUUCGUGGAGGAUUCACAUCAUCGAAUGAGGUAGGUGAGCUGCAAAUAAUGAGCAACAAGAUUGUUAAUGAUGUAUACUUUCUGCUUACUUUUUUCGGUUUUUCCACAGCUCAUGAUUCAAGUUGGGGGAUCCAUCACUUACCUGCUAGGGACGGUUCUAACAUGGAGAAUGCUCGCUUUAGUUGGUACAUCUAUCAUUUUUCAUUCGUUUGCAUAAUACCAAAUCUGUUAUGUAAUACAACAUAUAGUGAUUGAGUACGAAAAUGGCAAGGACUGAUUGAUGGAUGAUCUUUGUAUGAAGGCCUGAUUCCCUCCCUUAUGCUGAUCUUGGGAAUGUUUUUUGUCCCGGAGUCUCCAAGAUGGCUGGUAAGCUAUAGAAAUAGGAACAAAUCUCUUCACUAGUAUUCAACAGGGAAGAAGAGUUAGGAUAUGUGAGAAAACUAUGUGUUUCAGGUGAUGGUUGGACAACAGAGAGAAUUCGAAGCUUCAUUGCAGAGGCUGCGCGGAAAGGACGCUGAUAUUUCCUUCGAGGCUUCUGAAAUCCAAGUUGUUACUUUUAAUUUUUUGAAAAUGUAAAUAGCCUUUGGGAUGAGGAAGAUGACUGAUGUUCUUGGUUUCCAGGAAUAUACAGAAAAGCUUCAACAGAUGCCUAAAAUUAGGCUCCUGGAUUUGUUCCAAAAAAGAUACCUGCACUCGGUCAUAGUGAGCAUUUUUCCUUCCCAUUACCCAGCUGACUCUACUAGAAGCUAUAUAGCAUAACGCUUAUGUCUUUUUUUGGCUUAACCUUUUCUUGUCGUCAUCCCUGCACAUGACUUUGUUUUGAUGUUCAGAUAGGAGUCGGAUUGAUGUUGUUCAAACAAUUUGGGGGAAUCAGUGCGAUCGGCUCUUAUGCAAGUGCGACUCUUGAAUUAGCAGGUACCCAAAGAAAAGCAGCUUACUGACCAUGACCAGGUACCAAAAAUUUUCCAUGAAUUUCUGUUACAAGUCUAAUCUUCUCCCUAAGCUUGUGGUUUCAGGAUUUUCUUCAGGAAAAUUUGGGACAAUAGUCAUUGGUUUGUGUCAGGUAUUCAACAAUUUUUCACAGUGGUUGCAUUUUGAAGAUCAUUUUGUAUAGACUCAUUGUGGUUGAAACCUGACACAGAUUCCAGUGACUAUCAUAGCUGUGGCACUAAUGGAUAGAUGUGGAAGAAGACCUCUUCUAUUGGUGAGGGGCCUAGUCAUAAUCCAUAAACUUGGAGCUUGGGAACAACAACUUGGAAGUUUCAGAAACAAGGAAAUUGUUUUGUUGUGAUUCAGGUAUCUUCAGUGGGGACAUUCUUGGGCACCUUUCUGAUUGGACUUGCAUUCUAUUUGAAGGUAACCAACCCUCUACCUAUACCCCCAAAAAGUUGAGCCAGUUCUUCUUCUACUAUCCCCAUAAUCUCCAUUAAUGCCGCAGGAUCAUGAGCUAGUACUAAAGUUGAUCCCCAUGAUGGUCCUAGCUGGUGUACUGGUGAGGAGAUUUUGAAAUCAAACCAUGAAUACAAUUAUUUCAAUUAUUUUUGAGGAUCUGAUUUGAUUCCUGAAAUCAGAUCUACUUUUGGUCUUUUGCAUCGGGGAUAGGAUCUGCUUCCUGGGUUAUUAUGUCCGAGGUAAUGGACUACUGAUGUAGACACAUUUGAAAGCAUUCCCAUGACAAUUGCUUCAAUUGCAGAUAUUCCCCCUAAACGUAAAGGGAGCAGCUGGAAGCUUAGCCAUAUGGGCAAACUGGUUUGGUUCUUGGACUGUUUCCUACACUUUCAACUAUCUCAUAAGCUGGAGUAGCUCGGGUAAUAACAUGCAUACUAACAUUUAGAUUGCCAGUUUGCCACCAAGGUAGUAUGUUGAUAUUAAGUGAUGGAAUGAGAGGAAUGUUUCAGGUGCCUUCUUCCUGUAUUCUGCUGUCUCUGCUGCAGCAAUUUUGUUUGUGGCAAAGCUAGUACCAGAAACUAGAAGACGGACCCUGGAAGAAAUUCAAGCUCACAUGCUCUUCUCCAACUCCCACUCCUAAAGCCUCCAUAGAAAAACUUCAAUUGCUGUUGGGAUAGCCCAACAUUUAAACCUGUUUCAAAGCUCUGGUGUGUAAAGGGCUCAACUUCAAAGUAGACAUAUGAAGUGAACAAAAUGUUUUUAAGAACACAGUUGUUUAAUGUAGCACGAAGGUCUAGACGAGCUGGCCUUGGGCUCUCUUGGUUGAGGUUUGGGUCACCCUAGAUAGAUUCAAGCAGGCCUUUAUGUCUGGCUGCGACCGGGUUGAGAAUUAGUCUAAGCCUAAUUCUUUAAUUUUUAUAAAUAAAAAUAAAAUAAAAUAAUUUGCAUGCCCAUGUAGAAAUCAUAUUUAGGAAAAUCCAUUGUAACGCGACCAAGAAGAAAGCAGACUUGGUGAAAUGGACUUGAAGAAGGGGAUGAACCUCCUAUGGCCAAGGCAUGGCCAAGGCAAAAACAAAUUUCUUAGAGCCUGUUUAGUUAAUAAAAAAUAAAAAAUAAAGAAAAAAGAAAGAAAGAAAAGAAGGGAAAACACAUCCCCAUAAAUCAUAAAACAAUUUUUUAUUUUUAAAAAUAGAAAACACGAUGUUUUGACAACAUUUUUUUAGUUGUUUUCAAUUAUUUUCACUUAUUUAUCUAGGAUUAUUUUAAAAAAUAAUUAUAAAAAUAUGGAGAAUGAUUAAAAAAACACUAUAUAUAAAAGUCACUUUUAAAAUAUAUUUAAAAAUAUAGAAAACUUAUCUAGCAUUUUAAGUCUCAAUAGACAUUUAUUUUACAAAACAUCAUAGAAUAUUCUUCAAUAAUUAUUCUAAAAAAUUGUUUUUCAAAAUUAAUUUAAAAAACAAUUGCCAAAUAAAACCUUAUAUUUUUUAUGAUUUGAUUUUUAAACAAAAAAAAAAUGGCAUAACACCCGACAUUGUUAUAUAAUAUGAUAUCAUCCUCAAAGGUUCAUAAAAUGAUAAGAUUGAAGUUAUAAGCUUAACCAUUGAUUAUGAAUAUGGGAUGAAGGAUGAUAAUGAUUAAGUAGUAAACAAAACAAACAAAGACGGAUAGAUUGACGAUCUUUGUCAAUGUUUGGUUCUCAAAAAAUAUGAGAGAAAAUGCGAGGGAAAUAAAAUAUAGAGAAAAAGUAAAUAAAAUAUAAAAAAUUAAUUUAAAAUUAAUAAAUUAUUUUAUAUGUUACUUCAAACUUAUUACACUUAUUUUCCUCUUUUAUGUAAAAAUUAGGGUUAUGUAUAGUUCCUGGAAAAUUUGAGAGAAAAUAGAAAGAAAACAAAACAAAAAGGAAAAUUAGAAGGAAAGAAAAAGUGAAAAAUACUUUUAAGAUAAAAAUGAGUUUGAAGAAAAUAAUUUAUUAAGUUUAAACUCUUUUUUUUUUUUAAUUUUUCUUCACUUUUUAUUUUCUUCUAUUUUUUUUUUAUCUCUAUCUUGUUUCCUUCACAUUUUCCCUUAAAUUUUCCAAGAACCAAACAUAUUGUCAUAAGGUAAGUUACAAUAUUGACUUGAUACUUAGUAAAAGUGCAUCAAUCACAUCAUAUCAUGUAUAUAAUUUAUACAAUUUAUAGUUGGUUUGAAAACAUUUUUAUACAACACUUAGGCCAUAUUUGGUUCCCAUAAAGUACUAAGAAAAAAAAAAAUAGUUUUAUCAUAUUUGGUUUAACCAUGGAAAAAACAAAAGAAAUUCAAAUAUAAUUAAAAUUUGUAAAUAUAUAUAUAUAUAUAUAUAUAUAUAUAUAUAUAUAUAUAUAUAUAUAUAUAAGUAAAAUGAGUUUGAAAAGAUGUAUAAAAAUAAUUUAUUAAGUUUAAAUCUAUUUUUUAUUUUCUUUCCUUCCGCUUUUUCUCCUUUUGUUCUUCCUUGUGUUUCCCAUAAAAUUUUCCAUGAACCAAAUAUAACCUUAUAAUAUAUAAAUAAUUUUUGAAGAAAAAUAAUAUAUUUAAAAAUUUAUAAAACACUUUUUAAAUUUUGAAAAUUCACAUAUACUAUUUCUUGAAAUAGGUGAUUCUUAAAAAAAGAAAGAAAACAUUUAUAAAAAAAAUAUUUUAACCAAAAAUAGAUUUGUACUCUUCCAUUUAGCAGUGCUUUUAAAUAAUACUUCUAAGAUGAAAAAUAUUUUUUUUUAAAAAAUAAGAUGUUUGGUAACGUUUAGAAAGCAAUUACGAAAAGUAGAAAAAUUAAUUAUGGUGGAUGACCUUGGCAAAAGCACUUUAAAGAAAGCAAUUCAGUUAAAAAUAUAUUAAAUAUAAAUAAUUUCAAAUGCAUUCUAAGGUGAUAUUUGUUUUUUUUUUUUUAACUUAAUGUUGAAUAGUUUACCUUCAAACUUUAUAUUGUUUACUUUUAAUAUUUUUUCUUAUUUAUUAUUUAUUUUUUCUAAAUAUUGAAUGAAUGAAAAAAAAAUCAAAAUAUUUGACAUUUUAUUAAAUACUAAAAAUAAUUUUUAAAAUAAUUAAAACAUAAUCUAAAUACAUAUCUCACCCUAUUAAUACUUAAUAUUUAAAAUAAAAUAUAAUAAUAAUAAUAAUAAAACAAGAACUAUUUCAGAACAGGUUAGAAGUAGCAAUGGUUGGUCGAAACACUUAUUUUUACACUAUUUCAGAAACCCAAAGACUCGAUAUAUGGAUGCAUGGAUACGUAAGAUACGAUAUUUCCGAUCCUACUAUGAAAAUGUAGGGAUUAAAAUACUCAAUAAUGAAAAGUGUGUAAAUUAAUUUUCCUCCAUAAUUUUUUAUAUAUAGUUUUACAGUAAAACAAAUCAGUUUUUAAUCUUUCAUAUGGGAUAAUGAAAGAAAGAAAACCUUAAUCAUUACAAAAUGUAUUGGAGGGGGAAGUUACAAGGACAGGGAGAAUGAGCCAAGGAAAUGGGCAGUCCAUAAUUCCAUUUGACAAGAACAGAUGAAGUACCGCGAAAGCACCCUGCAACACGAUACACUACAGAGCCACUGAUCCAGCAAGAUAAGAAGGGAAACAUCACCUCUAAAGAGGAUGACGAUUUCAAGCCAAGAACUCAAGGGGAAUUUUGAGUGAAAAUGGCCCAUUUGACCAAAAAAACAAUAUAUAUUUUAGGUUCAUUUUACAACUUAUAUUCAAGGUGGUUUGUUUCUCAUCACAUGAGAGAGUGUUUGACGAUUUGAAGCCAAGAACCCAGUCAAAAAGAGGAAUUUUGGGUGAAAAUGGCCGAUUUCGCCAAAUAUAUAUAUAUAUUUUGGGCUCAUUUUAAAAUUUAUAUUUAAAGUGUAUUUGGUAAUGAUUUUAAGAAGUGUUUAUAUCAUUCUAAUACUUAAAAAAAAUUUAUUUUUCAAAUAUUAUAAAUACUUUUUAAAAUUAUUAUCAAACGCACUUUUUAUGUGAUUUCUUUUUCAUCACGUGACUAUUACAUCAUCUUCCUAUAAAAAUAAAACCACAUACCAUUUCAAAUUAAGAAUUUCAAUGAAAAAGGAAAUUUUGAGUGAAAAUGACCUAUUUGAUAAAUAAAUAAAUAAACACUUUAAGCUUUUUUUAAAGUUUAUAUUCAAUAUGAUUUAUUUCUCAUCCCGUGUGAGCGUCUCAUCAUCCUCCUGCAAAAACAAAAUCUCAAUUUAUAAUUGAGGUUUUCAGUUAAAAAAUAAAAUUUCAAUUCACAAUUGCAACUUUAAUUUAAAUUUAAAAAAAUAUAUCUUUUUAAUAAUAUAGGAGUCAUACGAUGAUUUUAAAUAUAAAUUUAAUAAAAUAAUUAAAUUUAAUUUCUUUUCGUAAAAAGAGUAUUUUGAUCGAAAACUCGAAAAAGGGUAUAGCAGGUGUCAUCAUCGUGAUUGUAGAAUGCUCCAUGGAUACAAUGGAGCGUGGACUCACGCAACCCUUUCAUGAUAACCCAAGAAAUAUAAAAUAAAGAAGGAAAGAGAGAGGAUGCCUUUAUAAGCUUUAUUUAAAUAAGUUAAAAACCAAAGUUUGCUUCAUUUUUAAAAAAUUUCAAAUUCAUCAUCACCACCUAUAAUUUAAGCUUUCUCAAAACGUCCAAAUCAUAUUUAGGUUUGAAUUUUAUUAUUAAUUUUUAUUUCUAAAUCAAAAUUCUCGAUUUAUCAAUUUUUUUUGCAUUUAUUUAAUAUUUUUAAAUGAAGGGAAAAAAUGAUUCAAUUUUUUAAAACAAUUUCUAAAUUUUCUUUGUUAUGUUUUUAUAAGUUCAAAACUCUGAACUUAUUAAAACCAACAUUUUGCUCCUAAUCACAAACUCUUCAUAAAAUUAUAAAAUUGUAUUGCUUUUUUUCAUGCUUUAUUUUGAAAACCAGUUUAAACAUGGAUAGAACUAACUUUGAGUUAACAACUUUCAAGUAGAAUUUUCUAAAUAUCUUCAAAAUAUAGUUUUUACCAAUUUUAAUUUUUAAUUUAAAAUAGAUAUUUGUAUGACUAUUUGUGAUUUAUGCAUGUUGUUACAUAACUUUAAACUUAGUUAAUAGAUAUUUUUUUGUUGCAUUUCAAUUUUGUUUCUUCACUUAACAACUUAUUCAUUGACUUUAGAGCCAAAGUGUUGACUUUUAAAUGUGAGGAAGCAAAAUGUAAAACAAGCCAAAUAUGGAAGGAAUAAAGCCUAUUUAAUCCUAAUAAAAAAUAAAAUUUAUUUUCUUUAUAAAUUUGUAUUUAUUUUUAAUCAUUUUUUUUUUCAAUUUUACGAAUUUGAAUUGCAUAAGUUUCAUUAUACAUUAUUGUCAUAAAUCUUCAUAAUGACAAAAUUUUCAUGGGUUAUAAUUCUUAAUAAUCUAUGGCCAUAUUUUCAAAUGAUUAGAGCAAACAUUUAUUAGAAGAAAAUUAUUUAAUUAUUAAAAAUGGUCUAAUUGAUAUAUUAAAAAGAAUUCAUGUUAGAUUAAGAUAAUGGUUUGAUGAAAAAAAACGAAAAUAUUAAAAAUUAUUUGGGAAAGCUAUUCCUAAACUUUUGUUAAUCUUUACAUGUUAUGUCAAUACAAAAAUAUAUUUUAAAUAAAUUUAUUUGAAUAAUAAUAAAUAAAAAAAGUAGUUUUCACAUCUCUUGUGCAAAAGAAUAACAUUUAACAAUAAUAAAAAUUAUUUCAAUGUGAACAAACAUAUUUGUAUAGGUUGAAAACAUAAAUUUUUAGUAAUAAAAUAUUAUCAUUUAAAAAAAAUGGAAAACAUAAUUUAACUAAUUUUUUAUAUCAAUUGAAAAGGUGUUACCAUUAGAAUUGGAUAGUAUCAUGUAUAUAUAUAACUGAGAUCUAAUAUGUUUAUACCCUGAGUCAUGACGCAUGUCACGAUUGGCCACUAUCCUUGUCAUAAUCUAUGCAACGACAUGUGACACAUAUCAUGAUGCGUACUACAACCUAUGUCAUGAUGCGUGAUGCAUGUCAUGACUAUUUCAUUAUUUUGUUACGUAAUUUAAUUUUAUUGGACUUUGACCUCAUCCGAUCGAUUAUACAUAUCCUUUGUAUUUUGAUCUUAUUCAUUUAUAUUGUAGUAUCCAACGAUUGAGAUUUAUCGCACAAUGGAUAGUCAUACCUUAAUAUUUUCCUAAUCUUUAUACCUUAAUAAUUUACUCAUGGGUUUGAAACCCGUGGAGCCACUAUGAAUUUUCAUGUUGCUUGGAGUUUGGUGUUACCCUCCUCUAUAAUUCAAUGUUGUUUCUUAUUGUAGUCAUUGGGUGAGAAUAAGUUUUGUGGACCAUGGACUUAUGAAAAAUUAAUUGACAAUAGACAAAAACAACCCUCUCAUAACUAGGGUUUUGGGCUUUUUCUUUAUGAUUCCUCGAUCGAAAUUCACAAUUUAUGAAUUUUAUGCAUUUAUUUGAUAUUUUUAAGAGGAUUUGAACUAAAAAAAUUCACCCAUUUUGUACUUCAAUCCCUUAAUCACAAGAUAAGUAAAAGAUUUCAUUAUGAUGCCUUCCAUGUUAUGCCAAUACAAAAAAUAUCUUUUCAAAAAAAAAAUUUAUUUGAAUAAAAAAAAUUAUGCACUUCUUUUGUACAAAAGAAUUACAUUUAACAAUAAUAAUUUUUUUUAACUCCAACCAUUUUUAUACAUAAAAUCACUAAAAUUAAAUGAAAUUUCAUCGAUUAGACAAACAUUUAUACAUUUAAAAAUAAUAAUCUAAUUUUUUAAAUAAACAAAAAGCUAAAAAUUCCAAAUUUUGAAAAGAAUUCUAUGACAAAGGCUUGAUUAUAUUAUUGAAAGAUAUAUAUUUUUUAUAUAAAUAUAAAAAAGAAAUCAUCAAUCAGAUUAAGGAUCGAAACCAAGCUUAUAAUCCCUUGAACUUGAAAAUAGGUUUCAACUAUCCAUCGUUGACCAGAUUUGGAAGCACUUUCUAAAUGCCCUCCUAACCAAGAGAUCCUGGUUUCCUUUGCAAGAUAAGACCUCCUGGGGGAUGAACCAUUAUCCGAGGCAUGGUCUCAUUAGCUCUGUUGCAAAACUUGCUUUUUAGGCAACCAUAUAUAUAUAUAUAUAUAUAUAUAUAUUGUAAAACGUAUACAUGUUGAAUAAUUUUGAGUUGGUGGCCAUCCAUGAAUUACUAGCAUGACCCUAACGUAAACAUGUUGUAUAAUUUUGGGUUGGUGGCCAUCCAUGAAUUAGCAUGACCCACCUCACCAUAAACUUGAGUAAUGCUUCAUCAUCUUUUUCCUCCUUUUAAUCACAACAGAAUCCAUUCCACUGAAGUGUAUACAGUGUAUUACAGUGAGAUUUACAAGAACAGGGAGAAUGAGCCAUUGGAAAGGCCAGCUUUCAGUGUUGUCCAUAAUGAUUUCCACUUGACUAAAUCAUUUACAAGAACAGAUGGAGUACCAUGAAAGCACCCGGCAACAAGAUAUGACAGAGCCACUCAUCCGGCAAGAUGAGAAGGGGAGCAUCAUCUCUGAAGAGGAUGAUGAUCUCAAGCCAGAAAACCCCAGCCAGAAAGGGUCUCCGGGAGUUGAAUGGCUCAGCACAGCUAUUGCAGUCUGGGGCUCUUUUCAGUUUGGAUGCUGUGUAAGUACUGAGUAGAGCUUCUAAAAACCAGUCAUCUUCUCCAGACAAAAGAAAAAAAAAAAAGAACCCAGAAAGUCUAUGAGUUUGACUCUGAAAAUGGAGGAAAAUGGGUACCAUGAAACCCUCUGGAAUAUCCAAUUAGUAAUAUUGCUGGAGGGGUUUAGGCAGGACUUCCACUGAUUUUCUCUGUAGAUCACCUGGAAAUUAACUGACUUUUAUUCAGUGUGGUUGGAUUCUGAUGUUUGAUGUAGGUAGUUGAACUUGCAGGUGCACUACACAUCCCCUACUCAGACAGCUAUCAGGAAGGAUCUCAAUCUUUCACUAGCAGAGGUUGGGCCAGUUUUUUUUUUUUUCUCAACCAAAUUUUAGCUUUCAUGCCUCUGUUGAUCUCCAACAAUUAUCAUUCUUCAUCAAUUAAAAAAAAAAAUAUGUGUUAAAUUUUAGGCAGUAGAGCUUCAAAGAGACUACAGUAAAGAACCUAAAGCAGUUGCAGUACUCCAUAUGGACUGCAGAAUAAUCAGUUGAAAACUCCCUCAAGAAAUUCAAUUUCCAUAGCCAAAAUUUGAUAUCCUCUGUGUCUGUGCAGUACUCAGUAUUUGCUUCCGUAUUGGCAAUUGGGGCAAUGAUUGGGGGGCUUACAAGCGGGCAUAUCUCCGAUCUCAUUGGAAGGAAAGGGGUAAGCUACAAAUGGGAAAUUCACAUGACAUUCACAGGUCAAGUAGUACAUAUAGCCACAUCUUCAAAACUGACCAACAUUGUUUUUCUAUGGAAUGGAAGCAGACAAUGAGAGUGGCUGCUGCUUUCUGCAUUGUAGGGUGGCUUGCCAUUGGUUUUACUGAGGUCUGUAUCAAUUGUAUACACUUCUAGGAUCUUCAGUGUCUAAAUAUCAGCUGCUUAUAUGAAUGAAGUCAUUUUUAUCUCUUAAGGGUGUUCUGUUGCUCGACCUUGGAAGAAUGUGCACAGGAUAUGGAAUUGGAAUAUUUUCUUAUGUGGUAUGCAUUUCUUUCUCCACACACACAAAAAACCCUGUUCAUGGAUUUCCAUUAAAAUGGUAUGAAUUCCACAUCUUAUGAUAAACUUUGACAAAAAAAUAUAUCUAUAAUGAGGGAGAAGGUACCAGUGUUCAUUGCUGAAAUAGCACCCAAGGAUCUUCGUGGAGGAUUCACAUCAUUGAAUGAGGUAGGUGAGCUGCAAAUAAUGAGCGACAAGAUUGUUAAUGAUGCAUACUUUCUGCUUACCUUUUUCGGUUUUUCCACAGCUCAUGAUUCAAGUUGGGGGAUCCAUCACUUACCUGCUAGGGACGGUUCUAACAUGGAGAAUGCUCGCUUUAGUUGGUACAUCUAUCAUUUUUCAUUCGUUUGCAUAAUACCAAGUCUGUUAUGUAAUACAACAUAUAGUGAUUGAGUACGAAAAUGGCAAGGACUGAUUGAUGGAUGAUCUUUGUAUGAAGGCCUGAUUCCCUCCCUUAUGCUGAUCUUAGGAAUGUUUUUUGUCCCUGAGUCUCCAAGAUGGCUGGUAAGAUAUAGAAAUAGGAACAAAUCUCUUCACUAGUAUUCAACAGGGAAGAAGAGUUAGGAUAUGUGAGAAAACUAUGUGUUUCAGGUGAUGGUUGGACAACAGAGAGAAUUCGAAGCUUCAUUGCAGAGGCUGCGCGGAAAGGACGCUGAUAUUUCCUUCGAGGCUUCUGAAAUCCAAGUUGUUAAUUUUAAUUUUUUGAAAAUGUAAAUAGCUUUUGGGAUGAGGAAGAUGACUGAUGUUCUUGGUUUCCAGGAAUAUACAGAAAAGCUUCAACAGAUGCCUCAAAUUAGGAUCCUGGAUUUGUUCCAAAAAAGAUACCUGCACUCGGUCAUAGUGAGCAUUUUUCCUUUUCAUUACUCAGGACUUUACUUGAAGCUAUGGAGCAUAAUGCUUAUUUCUUUUCUUGAUUAACCUUUUCUUGUCGCCAUCCCUGCACAUGACUUUGGUUUGAAGUUCAGAUAGGAGUCGGAUUGAUGUUGUUCAAACAAUUUGGGGGAAUGAGUGCCAUCGGCUCUUAUGCAAGUGCGACUCUUGAAUUAGCAGGUACUCAAAGAAAAGCAGCUUACUGACCAUUACCAUGUACCAAAGAUUUUCCAUGAAUUUCGGUUACAAGUCUAAUCUUCUCCCUAAACUUGUGGUUUCAGGAUUUUCUUCAGGAAAAUUUGGGACAAUAGUCAUUGGUUUGUGUCAGGUAUUCAACAAUUUUUCACAGUGGUUGCAUUUUGAAGAUCAUUUUGUAUAGACUCAUUGCGGUUGAAACCAUGACACAGAUUCCAGUGACUACCAUAGCUGUGGCACUAAUGGAUAGAUGUGGAAGAAGACCUCUUCUAUUGGUGAGUGGCCUAGUCAUAAUCCAUAAACUUGGAGCUUGGGAAGAACAACUUGGAAGUUUCAGAAACAAGGAAACUGUUUUGUUGUGAUUCAGGUAUCUUCAGUGGGGACAUUCUUGGGCACCUUUCUGAUUGGACUUGCAUUCUAUUUGAAGGUAACCAACCCUCCACCUAUACCCCCAAAAAGUUGAACCAGUUCUUCUACUAUCCCCAUAAUCCCCAUUAAUGCCGCAGGAUCAUGAGCUAGUACUAAAGUUGAUCCCCAUGAUGGUCCUAGCUGGUGUACUGGUAAGGAGAUUUUGAAAUUAAACCAAGAACACAAUUAUUUCAAUUAUUUUUUAGGAUCUAACUUGAUUCCUGAAAUCAGAUCUACUUAUGGUCUUUGGCAUCAGGGAUAGGAUCUGCUUCCUGGGUUAUUAUGUCCGAGGUAAUGGACUACUCAUGUGGACACGUUUUAAAGCAUUCCUGUUGAAUUUUGACUUAGUAUUUGCUAGAAUUUGAAUUUUGAAUAUUGCAGCUGGAGUCUUGCACAAAAUCUGCAACAUCUAGAUAUUUUCUUAUUUUUAUUUGGUCAAGAUUUGGUUUCUAUUUUAUAGGAAGUAGUUGUUCAUCAUCUAGUAGCUUGAUUUUCUGCUAUUCUAAUGUCAUUUAAGUUACAAGUUCAUGUAUAAAUUCAGCAUUCUUCAUCAAUAAAAUUAUAAGUUCCAGCAGCCCAAACAUAUAUUUUUUGUAUAAGUAUUUAAUCUUAUACCAACAAAGUGGUAUCAGAGCCAUAGUUAUCUUGAGGGGCCAGUGAGGUGAGUGAACCCAAACACCUUCUAAAAUCAUUUAGCAAUGGAAGAGUCAAGUCUCACAGUUGCACCAUCAGUUCUUGAUGGAGACAAUUAUGAAACUUGGGCUGUUAGAAUGACAGUUCAUCUACAAGCACUUGAUGUUUGGGAAGCAGUGGAAGAAAAUUAUGAAGUUCCUCCCCUAGGAGCCAAUCCAACUGUGGCUCAAAUGAAGUUGCAUAAAGAAAGAAGGACAAGAAAGGCUAAAGCGAAAGCUUGCUUGUUUGCUGCAGUUUCACCAUCAAUUUUCAUCAAAAUCAUGAAAAUUGAUUCAGCUGCAGAAAUUUGGGAGUAUCUCAAGGAGGAAUACAAAGGAGAUGAAAGAAUCAAGAACAUGCAGGUGAUGAACUUGAUUCGAGAAUUUGAAAUGAAGAAAAUGAGGGAGUCUGAUGCUGUUAAAGACUAUGCUGCACAACUUCUUUCAAUAGCAGACAAAGUUAGGCUGCUUGGAAAAGAAUUUUCCAAUGAGAAGAUUGUUCAAAAGAUAUUGGUUACACUUCCUGAGAAAUAUGAAGCUACAAUUUCCUCUUUGGAGAAUUCAAAAGAUCUGUCAACUAUUAGCUUGACAGAAUUAUUACAUUCCUUGGAGGCUGUGGAACAAAGAAGACUCAUGAGACAAGGAGAUACUGCAGAAGGAGCAUUUCAAGCAAGAAUGCAGAAAAAUGCAUGCCAUAAAAAUGGAAAGGUGAACAACAACAAGUCGUGUGGCAACAACCAGAAAAAUGGAGUUUUUCCACCUUGUCCUCAUUGCAAGAAGACAAAUCAUUCUCCACAAAAAUGUUGGUGGAGACCAGAUGUGAAAUGCAACAAGUGUGGUAAACAAGGACAUGUGGAGAGGAUUUGCAAAAAUCAACAGCAGGAAGAAACUAAUGCAGUAGUUGACUAUUGUCAGGAGGAGCAAUUGUUUGCAGCAACGUGUUUUGCUAAUAAAAGCACCUCUAAAAGCUGGCUUGUGGAUAGUGGUUGUACAAACCACAUGACAAAUAAUCAAGAUCUCUUUAGAGAACUUGAUAGAACAACUAUUUCCAAAGUCAGAAUUGGAAAUGGUGAGUAUAUUCCAGUGAAGGGCAAAGGAACGGUUGCUAUCGAAAGCCAAACAGGUUUGAAACUCAUUUAUGAUGUUUUGUUUGUGCCUGACAUUGACCAAAACUUACUCAGUGUUGGACAGCUCGUUGAGAAAGAAUUUAAAGUUUAUUUUGAAGAUAGGAAUUGCAUUAUCAAAGAUGCUGAAGGCAAAGAGGUGUUCAACAUAAAAAUGAAGGGCAAGAGUUUUGCCUUGAAUUUACUGGAAGAUGAGCAUACUGCUAUUUUACAACAAGAUAGCACAACAAUGUUUUGGGACAGAAGGGUCGAGCACUUUCAUCAUGAUGAUGUGCUCUACAUGAAGAAAAAUCAAAUAGUUGAAGGACUUCCUGACUUAGAAAAAGAUCUUCCUAUAUGUGCUACUUGUCAAUAUGGGAAGCAAACUAAACUUCCCUUUCCAAAGAAAAUAUCCUGGAGAGCAACCCAAAAACUGCAACUGGUGCAUACUGAUGUAGGUGGAUCUCAAAAGAUGCCAUCCUUGAAAUUGAAUGCAAACAAUGUUCACCAGCUCACUGCACCAUAUAAUCCACAACAAAAUGGAGCAGUAUAUUUUCUGAACAUAUUGCCAACAAAAGUGUUAAAGAAGCAGACCCCUUUCGAAGUUUGGUUUGAGUGUCUACGUGCAAGACUUGGAGUUUGCAUCUACGAAGUCAAGGAGGAGUGUUGAAUUUUGACUUAGUAUUUGCUAGAAUUUGAAUUUUGAAUAUUGCAGCUGGAGUCUUGCACAAAAUCUGCAACAUCUAGAUAUUUUCUUAUUUUUAUUUGGUCAAGAUUUGGUUUCUAUUUUAUAGGAAGUAGUUGUUCAUCAUCUAGUAGCUUGAUUUUCUGCUAUUCUAAUGUCAUUUAAGUUACAAGUUCAUGUAUAAAUUCAGCAUUCUUCAUCAAUAAAAUUAUAAGUUCCAGCAGCCCAAACAUAUAUUUUUUGUAUAAGUAUUUAAUCUUAUACCAACAAUUCCCAUGACAAUUGCUUCAAUUGCAGAUAUUCCCCCUAAACGUAAAGGGUGCAGCUGGAAGCUUAGCCAUAUGGGCAAACUGGUUUGGUUCUUGGGCUGUUUCCUACACUUUCAACUAUCUCAUAAGCUGGAGUAGCUCGGGUAAUAACAUGCAUACUAACAUUUAGAUUGACAGUUUGCCACCAAUGGUAAUAUGUUGAUAUUAAGUGAUGGAAUGAGAGGAAUGUUUCAGGUACCUUCUUCCUGUAUUCUGCUGUCUCUGCUGCAGCAAUUUUGUUUGUGGCAAAGCUAGUACCAGAAACUAGAAGACGGACCCUGGAAGAAAUACAAGCUCACAUGCUCUUCUCCAACUCCCACUCCUAAAGCCUCCAUAGAUAUAAACUUCAAUUGUUGUUCUUUAAAACUGUUUCAAAGCUCUGGUGUGUAAAGGGCUCAACUUCAAAGUAGACACAUGAUAUUAAUAUACCGUACCUGUUUUAUCUUAAAAAUUGAAAACAGGGAGUGAACAAAACAUUUCUAAGUAUACUAUUUGUUAGGACAAUUGGUCAAGUAUAUUAUAUAUGGACAAUUUUGUUCCAAUUUAUUUUCCAGGAAACUUUUUAGAUAGUGAAUUACUCUCCAGUGAAGAUCCAAGGCUACCGUUGAUUCAAUCGAAAAGUUUCGGAUAAGUGAAAAAUGUAUGGUUGGUGAUAAGUUAGGUGAUUAAAGAGUUAAAAGUGGAUUGGUAUCUUUUUUAUUAUUUAAAAUACAUAAAUUAAUGUUUUGGAAAAACAAGAUGCUCGAACGGUGAAAGCAAUGCCCAAGCACUCAUGCAACGUUCAAGUGUCCAAAGCACCCUAUUAGUGAGUGCACUCAAACACUCAUCCAAAUCUAUCAAAAUAUGGUAGAAUUUUUUUGGAAAUUCACGAAUAUUGUAUUUAGAAAAUUCAGAAUACCAAUUUCUUAGGGUGUCUAUAUAAACUCUUCUUUAACCCUUUUAGGGUUGAAAACUUACAAAGAGGUUUAGCCUAACUUGUCCUACCAUUCUCAAUCUCACAUGGAGGAUUCAAAUAUUGAAUCUUGGGUUGUAAAAAAUACCAGCAUCUCUCCAAUAAAGUUGAAGAAAUUUCACUAGAACAAUUGGGGAUUAUUGCAUUACAAACAUGGAUCAAAUUAUAGGUUCUAGAGACUAAGUUUAAGGGGUCAACAGUUAUGUAAUUAUGUGUGACUUAAUCUCAAAUAAUAGAUUUUAGAUUAGAGGUCUUAGAUCCUGUGAUUUUUUAUCUCCACAAUUAAUAUGGGGGUUUUCCACGUAAAAACUUUCUUGUGUCUAUUGCUUAUUUGUUUGAUUUUGAUAAUAUUGUUUAUCACUAAUAUCAUCUUAUAAUUUAUUUGGGUUAAUAAUUCAAUAAUUCAACUCCUAAAUUAUAAUAUUUAAAAAUACACUCAUUCGCCCCCUUCCAAUGGUACCAGGCAACAAUUUUUCACUAUUGUUUAAUAGCAUAAAAACCUAGACGGGCUGGUCUUGGACUCUCUUGGUUGGGGUUUGGGCCACCCUAGAUAGACUCAAGCGGGCCUUUAUGUCAGGCUGCAACCGGGUUGAGACUUGAGAAUUAACUCUGAGCCUAAUUCUGGCCCCAGGUCCAAUUCUUUAAUUUUUAUAGAUAAAAAUAAAAUAAAAUAAUUUGCAUGCCCAUGUAGAAAUCAUAUUUAGGAAAAACCAUUUCUGCGUGACCAAAAAGGAAAAGUAGACUUGGUGAAAUGGACUUGAAGAAGAGGGUAAACUUCAUAUGGCCAAGGCUUAGGCCUGUUUAAUUUGCUAGCUCCCCACUCUUGCCUUCCGCCGUAAAGGCCAGGCCUAUUUGUUUUCAUCUUCCAAGGCAAAAACAAAUUUCUUAGAGGCCCAUUUAGUAACAGUUAACAAAACAAGUUUUUGUUCACCAAAACAAAAAGACGGGAUACUACAUUUCCCGAUCAAAAAUCAAAAAAUUGUUUUUUAUUCUUAAAGAUAGAAAAUAUGGUGUUUUAAUAAUAUCUUUUAAUUGUUUUCAAUUGUUUAUCAACUAUUCUUUUAAAAAAUAAUUAUAUAAAUAUAGAGAAUGAUUAGAAAUAAAAUACUACAUAUAAAAAUUAUUUUUAAAACAUAUUUAAAGACAUAGAAAACUGGUAAAAAAUAUUUUGAAUUUUCAAACAAACAUCUGUUUUACAAAACAUCAUAAAACAUAGAGUUAAGUUAAAUUAAGUUUUAUUUAGAUUUAAAUAAAAAAAUAAUCUUUUCCAAUUUUUGUCUUAUUGUUGGUACUAUUUUUUUUAUAGUUUAGCUUUACAUUUUUAACCAGAAAAAUUGCAAAUUAAGUAGAUACCAAAUUGGUAAUCAAACAUUUUCCAAUACUUAGAUGGUGUUUGUUUUUUGGUUUAAUAGAAAAAACCGAAAUACUUUAUUUUUUCUAUUCAGUUAAAAGUAAUUUGUUAACAUCAUUCAAUAUAACUAAAUUAACAUAUUAAUAUCAAAUUCACUUUAGUUAUAUUAAAUAAUGUAAAUAGAUUACUUUUAAUUAAAUAAAAAAAAUUAAAUAUUUUGAUUUUUUCUAUUAAGUAAAAUAACAAACACCUAGUGAGCAUUUUGAACCUUCUCUCUCUGAACAUAAAGGUCCUUUCCAAAAUGCUAACCAACUAACCCAUAGGUCUUCCCACCCAAUUAAGAAAGUGCCCCGUCCCUGGACAGUCAAAAGGAAUCCAGUAAGCGACAAGUUGGCAGAGCAAAACCCCAUGGCCGGCCAGCCAGCCAGCCAGUGCUGACUGCAACAUUUAUCUACCAACUCUACUUUCUUUAUUAUUUCGCGUACACGGUAUACCCACGCGCUAAGAAGACUCAGUCACCCCUCGGAAGCCACUCAAGAAGUGAUCGCCAGUCAUUACAUGGUUCAAACCACUCGCUCGUAAAUGUGCAGAAAUGGUAAUUUGUCUUGGUGGAUCGUCUUCUAGUCAAGUCAAAAGUUAGGUAUUUUAUUAUAUAGUUUAACUCAAAUUUAAUAUAAAUAAUAAUCAUAUUAAAAACAUACACUUAAAAUUAUCUAAUAAUUAAACAGAUAAUACAUCGUGUAACUCAUAUAAUAAUCAAAUUGAUUAGAUCUUAUAUAUGUCUAUAUGAUUAAUGUUUCAAUAAACAUAUUUAUAAUUUAAUUGAUUUAUUUAUUUAAAAAAAUUAAUUUAAAAUAAGUCAAAUGUACGUUAAAUAUUUUAAAAAUAUAAUUAAAUCAAUAGCAAAAUUAUUAAGUGGGUUAAUUCGCAUCAAAUCCAUGUUACGUAAGUCGACACAAAUUUAACUCAUCCCAAUCCAAAUCAACAAAAAAAACAUGUUAAUUUUAUAUGGACGGAGGAAUCAUGUAAAAUUUUGUUACCCAUAUAAAGCUACAUGAUUCUCAAACAUAAACUUUAGCUUCUUCUUUUUUUUUUUUAAUUUUUUAUUUAUUUAUUUUAAUAAGGAUGUUUCCACUACCCCUUUUUUUUCUCACUCUGAAAAGUAGAUGGGAGACAAGAGAGCAUUAUUGCUUCCUUGCAAUUUACUCCUUACAAAAUGGUCCCUCUGGCCCCACCUUUCUUUAAAAGCUUCAUAGAUUUGUUCCCUCUUUUGUUUUAUUUCCUUCCCCUUUUUUUAGUGGAAUAUCAUUUGGGAAUUGUGUGGGGUCCCCAAAAAAAUAAAAAAAAAGUAUUCAGAUUUUCUUAUUGGAAAAAUAAUUGAAAACCCAAACAACUUAUUUUAAAUGGUCUAGCAUAAGAACAAUGUAAUUUUAAAAUAAUGGUUGAAAAAGCAUCCCCUAAAAGAAUAUUCUCCCAUCAAAUAAAGAUCAACUUCUAAUCUUAAAUCUAUAGUACUAUUAUGAACUUAGUAAUCAAGCACUAAAUUCCCAUUCAUUAAUAUGAAUAAUCUUUCUUUUUUUAACAUAAAAAAUAUAAUUUUUUAAAGAUAAAAAUACCCUAUAACAAUUUUUCUAAAUACCCUUUAAAUCUUAUUGACAGAAAAUGAUACUUUCGGGUUACCUUUUAAAAUAUCAAAAAAAUCCUAAUUGAGUGUUUCAUUAACCAAUUUUUUUGUCUCAACUUGUGAAUAGAACUACAAAAGCAAGGACCAUUCUUUUUCACAACACAAGAGUAUUGACCUUCAUUUUCAAGAGAAAAAUAAAAAUAAAAAAGUUUUUAUUUUUUCAGAAAGAAGAAUCAUAUUCUUUUUAUUCGUCAAUUUUCAGAGAAAAAACAGAAAAUACAUUCUUUAUGAUUUUUUUUAGAGAGAGUCUCCUCUCCAUAGAAAAAAUAUAUAUUUUUUUAUUUUAAUAAUGACAGUUUUAGGCAAUUUUGAAAAAAUCCAAAACUGUUUUCUCCUUUUCUAUUUUCUAGUCAGUGUACUUGAACAUCCAAACCCAAAUAAAAAUAAUAGAAUGGUCUCAUCCUAAUUUUUAAUAUGUGAAAUUAUUAUUUUUUAAAAUAUGAUAUUUUCCCAUCUUUUUAAUUAAUUUAGUUUCUACUGGCUUAAGAGUUGGCCACAUUGCCCAAUAAAGGAGCUUCUUUAAUGAUUAUUGUGCAUGCAUGAUCUUGAGGUAAGAUUUGGGGAAUAAACAAACAAGAAAGUCAGUGCAUGUGUCUCAAUUUCAGUAGUACCAUUUAGAUGCCAGAGCCCUCGACUAAUAUCAUAUGCAGAUAAAGAUAUAGAGAAAGCAACUUUGCUUUCCAAGUAUUAAUAAUAAUAUUAUCAUCUGCAAUAAUUUCUCAGUCUAAUAAUUGAGAUUACCUUUAAUUAUUAUUAUUAUUAGCUAUUAAAAUAAGAAGGUAUGUAGGAGUGGGGUUUUUUGAUUAUGAUUAGGAGAGACAAAUAGAAAGCAACCAGCCAGGCUGUGAUGCCCUUUGAACCCAAAACAUCGCACUAACACACUUCUUAUACCUUACUUCAUUGGAUGUAAUUUGAAUAUUUUUUUUUAAAAUAUUCAAGCAUGAAAAGGUAUUUAUCAAAUUCUUUCUUUUAAUACUUGAAUAUAUAUAUAUACGAUGAAAUUUAUAUCGUGAAAUAUAAUAUAAAUAAAUGAUAUUAUAAUAUAAGAUAUAGGUGUAACUCGGAUAGGUUGGCUUGAUCCUAUCAUAAUCAAUUCAAUGUUCAAUAAAUAUUUUUAUUACUUGGGUUGAGAUUCAAAUGACCUGCACUUAAUCGAAUCGAUUUAAUAUUUUAUAAUAUUUAUAAUAUUGUUUAUUAUCUUAUAUAAUAAUAUUUAUUUUCUUUUUAAUUUAAAAAAAAAUCAAUUAAUAAUAAUAUCAUAUACUUUUUCAUUUAAAUAUACAUAUAUAUAUAAGUUUAUUUUUACUUUUUUAUUAUUAUUUUAGAAUUUUGUGUUAUUUAUUAUUUAAAUUUUGGUAUAAUAUAUAUAGAAAAAAAAUUAAAAACCAAUAUGGAUGGAUUUUGAAUUAUAUAAUUCGAUCAAGUCGAAUCCAAUUCGAUCAAGUCGAAUCUAAUCCGAUCAACCAAGGUUUAACCUUAUCAAUCUAAUAAAUUCAAUCCAUUCAAUGUGAUUGGAUUAGCUUUAGAUUGAGUGUUUCAAGUUAAAGAUCAUAUUAGGUUAAACUUGAAUCGAUUAUUUCUUAAUUUAGAUUGAACUCGAGUUGCUCAUCAUCGUGAUGAAUCCGUCGAAGUUGCAACCUUAGUAUCAAGAACAUGAAUACAUAUAAUAUAUUUUUUAUUUUGGAAUAUACUUUAUUAGUACAUAUCUUCAAAUGUGAUAACAAGAAAUAAGCUUGAUUGAUUUUACAUCAUUUUGUUAUAAAAAUAGGCGUCAAAUAAUUCCUCAAUAUUUUUAAAAUUUUAAAUCACAUGAAAAUAGAAAGUUAGGUGUGUAAUUUAAUGAGGUUGAGGUAUUCCGUGAGAUAAAGAUAAAGUAAAAGUAAAAGUAAAUGGGGGAAAAAGGAAAAAAAAUAAGGAGAUGUGGGUGAGGUGGAGGCAUGAAACGUCUUUUCCGGUAAAGCCUAAAUAUCAGAAAUGUGGAGUCACUUCAAUGUAGAAGAGAGAAUCUCAGCCACAUUUAUUCACAGAUUGUUGAGAAUCUGUGAUCACAAUGAAAACAACACCACACCAUACCCAAAGAAAUUACCAAAUAAGCAAGGGUGCACCCUACCUGGGUUGAUUACACCUAACCAUAAACCAAUGUUUAGGCCAGUUUCAGUACUAGGAUUAGAUUUAGAUUAGGUUAAGGUUAAGGUUAAGGUUUGAAUAAUCUAAAUUUAACCCUCACCCAAUUUAAUGUUUUAUAUAUAUAUAUAUAUAUAUAUAUAUAUAUAUAUUAUUUAAAAAUGUAAUAUAGCAUCAUUCGUUCUACAAAAGAGAAAUGAUGGGAGCGGCGAGGAUUAGAACCUGGUACGGGUUCCUGGAAGGCGAGGCUCCACCUCUCCAUGCUGACGUGUCGAAAUACAAUUGGCUCUCAGCUUAGUGGACGCAGCUCACCGCAGAGGACCCAUCCUCUAAAGGUGGUUUAUUUACGAAUAAGCCCGACUGUGGUCCCCACACCGCAAAUAAUUCCCGUUGAAAAGAUGGCAUGGAAGAUGACAACUCACCCUCCUUUUAACGGCGUUAGGGUGAAAGUGACGUCAAGGUCACGGUGAAGGGCCGACUCGGUCAGCCACUCAAACGUGGCGGCCUAUCUCUAUCUUCAUUGACGCGUCGUCGUGGGUGCGAAGGUCGGUGCGAACCAUCCCUACUGAGGCCCACCUUUUUAGCGCUUGCCUAUAUAUCAUCCCUCUGAAUAGAUUGGAGUGAACAUACAGGGAAAAACAGCAGAGCAGAAACGCAGGAAGACAAAAAACAACAAAUACAACCCCUUCUCCUGUAGAGGAAGAAGAGCUGAGAUUCAAAAAAACAGAGACAUCUUCUCUCUCUCUUCUUUCUCUCUUCUUCUUUUUAAUUUGUUUUGAUUUUUUUGAUUUUAUUUUAGUUUUAUUUGGGUUGGGAAUUAUGGGGACGGAGAUCUUGAGGCCUCAGGACUGUUUGAUCGAGCGGAUGGGGGUCUCUCCGGCGGUUUUUCCUCGCCGUAAGGCUUUCCCCGGAAGCGCAAAGGCGAACCGGAGACCGGUGGUUCGGGCUGAGAGGUCGGACCAGAAGAGGCGGGGGAGUCAGUCGGAGGGGUCCAUUUCUAAGAGAUCGAGCUCCGAUGAUGUCAGGGCCGCGAAGGGGAAUGUUGUGGUGGGCCCGGUGACGAUUCUCAGGCGAGGGGAGUCGCUUGACUCGAAAUUAAAGAGCGAGGCUCUGAAGAAGAACGGCGAGGAGGAAAUGAUAGUUUCUGGAACCGAGAGGUUGGGCCCGGACCCGGAGAUGGUGCCGAAGCAGAUCCGCAUCAAGGAUCUGAAGCCGUUUGCUUUUUCGGUGGCCGCUAAGCCCGACAUGUACGCUGGAUCUGCGUUUGCGCUCUCGCCGUCGCCGAG
rnacentral:lncRNA from 1 species